GGGAGCCGGAUGAGCUGAGAGGUUCAAGUCCGGUUCUGAGAGAGCCUAAAGGUGAGAUUCCUUUUGGCUACUUACC
rfam:Clostridium puniceum strain DSM 2619 CLPTN_contig000209, whole genome shotgun sequence.